CGGCGGACGGGUGAGUAACACGUGGGUAACCUGCCUCAAAGAGGGGAAUAGCCUCCCGAAAGGGAGAUUAAUACCGCAUAAUAUGUUUUGGUCACAUGGCCUUAACAUCAAAGGAUUUUCUUCGGAAAUUCCACUUUGAGAUGGACCCGCGGCGCAUUAGCUAGUUGGUGAGGUAACGGCUCACCAAGGCGACGAUGCGUAGCCGACCUGAGAGGGUGAUCGGCCACAUUGGAACUGAGACACGGUCCAGACUCCUACGGGAGGCAGCAGUGGGGAAUAUUGCGCAAUGGGGGAAACCCUGACGCAGCAACGCCGCGUGAAUGAUGAAGGCCUUCGGGUUGUAAAGUUCUGUCUUCUGGGACGAUAAUGACGGUACCAGAGGAGGAAGCCACGGCUAACUACGUGCCAGCAGCCGCGGUAAUACGUAGGUGGCAAGCGUUGUCCGGAUUUACUGGGCGUAAAGGAUGCGUAGGCGGACAUUUAAGUCAGAUGUGAAAUGCCCGAGCUUAACUUGGGUGCUGCAUUUGAAAC
rnacentral:rRNA from 1 species